UCUAUUGGAGGGCAAGUCUGAUUCCAGCAGCCGCAGUAAUUCCAGCUCCAA
rfam:Xenopus laevis strain J chromosome 5L, whole genome shotgun sequence.